rnacentral:rRNA from 1 species
UACGAAGGGGGCUAGCGUUGUUCGGAUUUACUGGGCGUAAAGCGCACGUAGGCGGAUCGCCCAGUCAGGGGUGAAAUCCCAGGGCUCAACCCUGGAACUGCCUUUGAUACUGUCGAUCUGGAGUAUGGAAGAGGUGAGUGGAAUUCCGAGUGUAGAGGUGAAAUUCGUAGAUAUUCGGAGGAACACCAGUGGCGAAGGCGGCUCACUGGUCCAUUACUGACGCUGAGGUGCGAAAGCGUGGGGAGCAAACAGG